UACGAAGGGGCUAGCGUUGCUCGGAAUCACUGGGCGUAAAGGGUGCGUAGGCGGUCUUUAAGUCAGGGUGAAAUCCUGGAGCUCAACUCCAGAACUGCCUUUGAUACUGAGGAUCUUGAGUUCGGGAGAUGGUGAGUGGAACUGCGAGUGUAGAGGUGAAAUUCGUAGAUAUUCGCAAGAACACCAGUGGCGAAGGCGGCUCACUGGCCCGAUACUGACGCUGAGGCACGAAAGCGUGGGGAGCAAACAGG
rnacentral:rRNA from 1 species